rnacentral:rRNA from 1 species
AUUGAACGCUGGCGGCAUGCCUUACACAUGCAAGUCGAACGGCAGCACGGGGCAACCUGGUGGCGAGUGGCGAACGGGUGAGUAAUGCAUCGGAACGUGCCAUUGAGUGGGGGAUAACGUAGCGAAAGUUGCGCUAAUACCGCAUAUUCUGUGAGCAGGAAAGCAGGGACCGCAAGGCCUUGCGCUCUUUGAGCGGCCGAUGUCAGAUUAGCUAGUUGGUGAGGUAACGGCUUACCAAGGCGACGAUCUGUAGCGGGUCUGAGAGGAUGAUCCGCCACACUGGAACUGAGACACGGUCCAGACUCCUACGGGAGGCAGCAGUGGGGAAUUUUGGACAAUGGGCGCAAGCCUGAUCCAGCCAUGCCGCGUGAGUGAAGAAGGCC